rnacentral:misc_RNA from 1 species
UAUCCGUAGGUGAACCUGCGGAAGGAUCAUUAUUGUAUAACCGAGGUGCGAGGGCUGUCGCUGACCCGAAAGGUCGUGCACGCCCGAGUGCCCUCACACACAUCCAUCUCACCCCUAUGUGCACCACCGCGUGGGUCCCCCUUUGGCUUGUUCGGAGGUGGGCUUACGUUUUCCCACAAACUUUGUAUGCAGUGUAGAAUGUAUUUUUUGUUUUUGCGAUCACGCAAUCAAUACAACUUUCAACAACGGAUCUCUUGGCUCUC